rnacentral:rRNA from 1 species
GGGGGGGGGGGGGGGGGGGCGGGGGAGAUGGGGGUCGAGCGGGGGGGGGGGGCUGGCGCCUGGAUUCGGCGGCGGACGGGUGGGUGCUGCCUGUGAAUCUGCCUUGUAGUGGGGGAUAACGUCGGGACACGGGCGCUACUACCUCCUACGUCCUGAGGGAGAAAGUGGGGUAUCUUCGGACCUCCCGCUAGCAGAGGAGCCUAGGUAGGAUUAACUAUUGUGUGGGGUAACGGCCUACCAAGGCGACGAUCCGGAACUGGUCUGAGAGGAUGAUCAGUCACACUGGAACUGAGACACGGUCCAGACUCCUACGGGAGGCAGCAGUGGGGAAUAUUGGACAAAGGGAGAAAGCCUGAUCCAGCCAUGCCGCGUGUGUGAAGAAGGUCUUCGGAUUGUAAAGCACUUUAAGUUGGGAGGAAGGGCAGUAAGUUAAUACCUUGCUGUUUUGACGUUACCAACAGAAUAAGCACCGGCUAACUUCGUG